AUGCACAAGAAACUCACUAGAUUUGUAAGUUUUAUGAGGAAGGGUGAGACUGAGUUCUAUCAAGUAAAGUUCGAGAAACUGCCGACGUUUUGCCAUGCUUGUGGGAAAAUGGGACAUUGGCAUGAAGAAUGUGGCUCGGGAGAGCAUGAUGAGAAAAAGGUUGAAUGGGGUCCCUUUAUCAUGGCUCCUAGAAGAGGCGGGGGAGGUGGUAGAGGGACAGGACCAAGCCGAGACGGUGGUGCUGGGCGUGGUGACAUGAAUGGCACAGGUCUGAGAGGAGGUGCGGGAAGGGGCAUGAAUGGAAGGGCCGGUGCAGCUGCAUGGAGGUUGAAUUAUGAUCCAACGAAAAAUCCUGAUGAUCCCAAUGCAUGGAGUAUGAUUAUACAGGAAAGGAUGGGGCAGCAACUAGUGAAAAUAACUUAG
rnacentral:rRNA from 1 species